UUUUUUUUUUCCUUCCUCCCUUGGGCCAUAAAAUUUUAUUGGCAGAUCAGGGGGAGAGCCAGGGUAAGGGUCCCUCCCCUCUAUGCCCCUACCCAUGGGCAUCCUUCCACAGGAGGGCGGGAAGCCCAAGAGGCUGCUGGACUCAGUGGGCAUUGGGGGGCGGCGGGUGGACGAAGCGGCCGUCCUUGUGCUCCAGCACGAUUUGAUGGGUGACGUCCUGGGCCUCCAGCAGGCUUCGGUAGGUGGCGAUCUCCUGCUCCACCCGAGUCUUGACGUCCAGGAGCAGCUGGUACUCCUGGUUCUGCCGCUCGGUGUCAGCACGCACGUCACUCAGCUGGGCUUCGAUGCUACUGAUCAGCGCCUGGAUCUGUGCCAGCUGAGCUCCGAAGCGAGCCUCCGUUUCCGCCAGCGUGCCUUCCAGGGCGGCUUUCAUGCUGAGCUGAGACUGCAGCUCGAUCUCCAGGCCCUGGAGGGUGCGCCGCAGGUCGGUGAUCUCCGUCUUGUUAAUCUGCAGCUGCUCCGUGUGGCCAGCGACCUCCCGGUUCAGCUCCUCAGUCUUGGUGGUGAACCAGGCUUCAGCAUCCUUCCUGUUCUUCUCAGCCAUGACCUCAUAUUGGCUUCUCAUGUCGCUCAGGAUCUUGGCUAGGUCAAUGCCUGGAGCGGAAUCCACCUCCACAGUGACCUGGCCCCUCAAGACACUGAUUUCCUCCUCGUGGUUCUUCUUCAGGUAGGCCAGCUCCUCCUUCAGGCCUUCGAUCUGCAUCUCCAGGUCAGUCCUGGCCAGGGUCAGCUCGUCUAGCACCCUGCGCAGGCCAUUGAUGUCGGCCUCCACACUCAAGCGCAGAGCCUGCUCAGUCUCGAACUUGGUUCGGAAAUCGUCUGCAGCCAGACGGGCAUUGUCGAUCUGCAGAACAAUCUUGGAGUUCUCAAUGGUGGCCCCAAGAAUCUUGUCCCGCAGCUCCUCGAUGGUCUUGAAGUAGUGGCUGUAGUCGCGGGCGGGCCCGGGCCCCUGCUUCAGGUACCAGUCGCGGAUCUUCACCUCCAGGUAGGAGGCCAGGCGGUCGUUGAGGUUCUGCAUGGUCUCCUUCUCGUUGCCCGCCGGCAGCCCGUCGGACCCGGCCAGGGUGCCCGCAUAGCCACCGCCGUAGCUCCCGGAGGAGGACGAGGUCACGAAGCUGGCAGAGGACACCGACACGCCGCGGCCGCCCGAGCCCCCGUGGAUGCUGGGCGCGCGGAUGGUGCCUCCGGCCCCGAAGCGCAGGGAGCCACUGCCCAGGCCCCCGAAGGACGAGGUGGCCGAGGACUGGCGAUAGCUGUAGGUAGUCAUGGCGAAGGAGGACGCGGCGACAAGGGUCGGAGGAGCUGCGGUUGGCAGGAGGAGUC
rnacentral:lncRNA from 1 species